rnacentral:lncRNA from 1 species
AAUAUAAGUGGAGGCGUCGCGCUGGCGGGCAUUCCUGAAGCUGACAGCAUUCGGGCCGAGAUGUCUCGCUCCGUGGCCUUAGCUGUGCUCGCGCUACUCUCUCUUUCUGGCCUGGAGGCUAUCCAGCGUUUGAAGAUGCCGCAUUUGGAUUGGAUGAAUUCCAAAUUCUGCUUGCUUGCUUUUUAAUAUUGAUAUGCUUAUACACUUACACUUUAUGCACAAAAUGUAGGGUUAUAAUAAUGUUAACAUGGACAUGAUCUUCUUUAUAAUUCUACUUUGAGUGCUGUCUCCAUGUUUGAUGUAUCUGAGCAGGUUGCUCCACAGGUAGCUCUAGGAGGGCUGGCAACUUAGAGGUGGGGAGCAGAGAAUUCUCUUAUCCAACAUCAACAUCUUGGUCAGAUUUGAACUCUUCAAUCUCUUGCACUCAAAGCUUGUUAAGAUAGUUAAGCGUGCAUAAGUUAACUUCCAAUUUACAUACUCUGCUUAGAAUUUGGGGGAAAAUUUAGAAAUAUAAUUGACAGGAUUAUUGGAAAUUUGUUAUAAUGAAUGAAACAUUUUGUCAUAUAAGAUUCAUAUUUACUUCUUAUACAUUUGAUAAAGUAAGGCAUGGUUGUGGUUAAUCUGGUUUAUUUUUGUUCCACAAGUUAAAUAAAUCAUAAAACUUGAUGUGUUAUCUCUU